rnacentral:tRNA from 1 species
GCAGUCGUGCCCGAGUGUUUAAGGCGAUGGACUAGAAAUCCAUUGAGGUCUCCCCGCACAGGUUCGAAUCCUGUCGACUGCG